rnacentral:rRNA from 1 species
GGUGAAAAGCACCCCGGAAGGGGAGUGAAAUAGAACCUGAAACCGUGUGCUUACAAGUAGUCAGAGCCCGUUAAUGGGUGAUGGCGUGCCUUUUGUAGAAUGAACCGGCGAGUUACGAUUUGAUGCAAGGUUAAGCAGUAAAUGUGGAGCCGUAGCGAAAGCGAGUCUGAAUAGGGCGUUUAGUAUUUGGUCGUAGACCCGAAACCAGGUGAUCUACCCUUGGUCAGGUUGAAGUUCAGGUAACACUGAAUGGAGGACCGAACCGACUUACGUUGAAAAGUGAGCGGAUGAACUGAGGGUAGCGGAGAAAUUCCAAUCGAACCUGGAGAUAGCUGGUUCUCUCCGAAAUAGCUUUAGGGCUAGCCUCAAGUGAUGAUUAUUGGAGGUAGAGCACUGUUUGGACGAGGGGCCCCUCUCGGGUUACCGAAUUCAGACAAACUCCGAAUGCCAAUUAAUUUAACUUGGGAGUCAGAACAUGGGUGAUAAGGUCCGUGUUCGAAAGGGAAACAGCCCAGACCACCAGCUAAGGUCCCAAAAUAUAUGUUAAGUGGAAAAGGAUGUGGCGUUGCCCAGACAACUAGGAUGUUGGCUUAGAAGCAGCCAUCAUUUAAAGAGUGCGUAAUAGCUCACUAGUCGAGUGACACUGCGCCGAAAAUGUACCGGGGCUAAACAUAUUACCGAAGCUGUGGAUUGUCCUUUGGACAAUGGUAGGAGAGCGUUCUAAGGGCGUUGAAGCAUGAUCGUAAGGACAUGUGGAGCGCUUAGAAGUGAGAAUGCCGGUGUGAGUAGCGAAAGACGGGUGAGAAUCCCGUCCACCGAUUGACUAAGGUUUCCAGAGGAAGGCUCGUCCGCUCUGGGUUAGUCGGGUCCUAAGCUGAGGCCGACAGGCGUAGGCGAUGGAUAACAGGUUGAUAUUCCUGUACCACCUAUAAUCGUUUUAAUCGAUGGGGGGACGCAGUAGGAUAGGCGAAGCGUGCGAUUGGAUUGCACGUCUAAGCAGUAAG